AAAAAUCAAGACCAACCAAAGCCGUAAAUAAUAAAGUCUCUGUAUUUUCAUUGUUGAUAAUUAUUUGUUCUUUAACAAUGUCUGACUGUAAAAUUACAGCAUAUUUUUUCCUGUAGAUAAAUCAGUGUCAUAUCAGAAGUCAGAUUGUUAUUCUGCAGUUAGAGAUCAACAGGAUCAAUCAUCCAUCCAUUCAUUCAAAAAGAGAUAUGAAAUAACCACAAAGAUGCACAAAACAAGUCAUAUCAUCCAUAAACUGAUGUAAAAGAACCACAAGGAUGCAUAGAACAAGCAAAAUAAGAACAAAAUUGAUGAAAACUACCAAAAUAAGACACAAACCAACCAAGAAGAGAAACAAAAGAAAUAAUAACAUUCAUCAACUGAUGCAAAACAAACACAAAGAGACACAAAAUAAGUAAAAUGUGACAAAAAUGGAUGGAAAACAACCAAAAUAAGAUACAAAACCAGCAUAAAUAUAGAAAAUGACCUCAGAGAUACACAAAACGAACUAAAAUCUGAUAUUAAAUGAUGCAAAACAGUGAUAAUGAGUUUUAGACAUCCACAAAGAGACCCACAACAAUUCACAUCAGUUGUUAAACAGCGCAAAAGAAGUAAAAUCAGACAAGCAACAGCACAAUAAGAAACAAAACAUCCACAACAAGUCUUCUUGUUUUUAAUAAUGCACAUAAAAGUGGAACACUAAAGGUUGUGUUCUUCACUGCAGAGUCCCUGAACUGACAGAAACUAUUUUCCUUGACAAGUGGAGGUUAACUGUGUUUGUGGUUUUGUUGUAUCAGGCAGAAGGAAGGUCAAAGUUUUCUUCAACAAACUGGAAAAAUGGAAUAAAACUCUUCUUCUGGUCGAAGUUCCCUGAGAUACAGACGAAUUCUCCUCUAAUGUGUUAAUCUGAAAAUGAGUGAAAAAACAUUCUAAUCUCAUGGAUGAAUGACAAACUCUGCUGUCCUACUUUUAUUACAGACAGUGAACUAACCACAGACUGUCCUACUUUUAUUCCAGACAGUGAACUUGAACAUCAGCUGAUGUUUCCUGUUGAUGCAUGAUUCGGUUUCCUGGAAUGAAACACACCCCAGAGUUACAGUCGAAGCAAGAGAAGUGCUGUGGCGAAGCUCCACCCCUCAACUGGCUCAUCUCACACAAACCAGGAAACAGUUUGUGAUUCUUUCUCGGUAAAGAGAAACUCAGACGAUCAGACGGAGCUUCAGCGUCCUCAGACUGAGUCCAGCUACAACACUGCUGCUUCCAGCUGCUGACACUCCAAACACUGAAGCUUCACUCACACAAUAAAUGGAUUCCAGAUCAGAGGAGGAUCUCUGCUGUCCGGUCUGUCAGGACGUCUUCAAAGAUCCUGUUCUUCUGUCAUGUAGCCACAGCUUCUGUAGAGACUGUCUGAAGACCUGGUGGAGACAGAAACCAACACGCGACUGUCCAGUUUGUAAGACAAGAUCUUCAAAAACAAAUCCACCUUGUAACCUGGUUUUAAAGAAUUUGUGUGAGUCCUUCCAGCAGCAGAGAUCUCAGAGAUCUUCAGAGUCUUUCUGCAGUUUACACUCUGAGAAACUCAAACUCUUCUGUCUGGAUCAUCAGCAGCCAGUGUGUGUCGUCUGCAGUCAUUCACAAAAACACUCCAACCACAGAUUCAGACCCAUUGAUGAAGAAGCACGACAACAAAAGAAGGAACUUCAGGAAACUCUGAAGCCCUUAAAGGAGAAACUGAAGGUUUCUGAACAAGUUAAAGUGAAGUUUGAUCAAACAGCAAAACACAUUAAGGUCCAGGCCCGACACACAGAGAGGCAGAUUAAGGAGCAGUUUGAGAAGCUUCACCAGUUUCUGAUAAAGGAAGAGGAGGCCAGGAUGGCUGCACUGAGGGAGGAAGAGGAGCAGAAGACUGGGAUGAUGAAGGAGAAGAUGGAGGCUCUGAGCAGAGAGAUAGCAGAUCUUUCAGACACAGUCAGAGCCACAGAGGAGCAGCUGAGAGCUGAAGACGUCUCAUUCCUGCUAAACUACAAGGCUGCAGUGGAAAGAGUCCAGCGCUGCCUCCUGCUGGAGGAUCCACAGCUGCUCUCAGGAGCUCUCAUAGACCAGGCCAAACAUGUGGGCAACCUGAGCUUCAACAUCUGGAACAACAUGAAGGACAUGGUCUCCUACACUCCUCUCAUUCUGGACCCAAACACUGCACAUCCAAACCUCCUCCUGUCUGAAGAUCUGACCAGUGUGAGACGUGGAGAUAAACAGCAGCUUCCUGAUAAUCCAGAGAGGUUUGAUUAUUUCAUCUCUGUUCUGAGCUCUGAAGGCUUCAACUCAGGAACUCACAGCUGGGAUGUUGAGGUUGGAGACAGUAAAUGCUGGUCACUGGCUGUGAUAGAAGAGUCUGUCAAGAGGAAGGGAAUGAUGCGGUCUGGAUUUUGUGGAAUAGGGCUCUUUGGAGAUAAAUGCUAUACACGUUCACCACCAUCUCCCUUCAUUGUUCUCUCAGUGCAGAAGAAACUCCAGAGGAUCAGAGUGAAUCUGGACUGUAACAGAGGAAAGCUGUCCUUCUCUGAUCUUGACACUAAAACACUCAUACACACCUUCAAUCACACUUUCACUCAGAGGAUGUUUCCGUACUUUGAGAAUGGUGAUAAAGUUCAGAUUUUACCAGAGAAGGUCUCAGUGACAGUGGAACAGAUCAGUUAGAGAUCAACAGGAUCAAUAGAUUCAGAACGUCUCUUUGUUGUUGUUUUUCUGGUUGUUGUUGGUGGUGGUUGCAUUUUUGUCUUUUUAUAUUUCUUUUUUACAUUUUACCUUCAAACCAUGAAUAUUUUCACACUCAAGUGGAUUUUUUUGGCUUUAGUUAACUUUUAAUCAAAUAAUCAAGAAACUGUACUUUAGAUUUUAUAAAGUUUCCAAUCAGUAAAAGGGAUUCAUGUUUAAUUCAGUUAAAAUGUUUUCUAUUUAGGGUAGAUGUUUUAAUGUGUUUCUGUUCCACUUUUAUGUAACACUGCUAAUUGAAAAGCUGAAUCUUUCUUUGACUGUCUUUAAGCCCCAAAGUUUAUGUAUUUUUGAUGAAUAUUUUCAUGAUUGUGAGCUGUUGUUGAACAGGGUUUCUCUGUGUUGUCAGUUUAUAGAUCAUAUCCAAUAAUGAUCAAUAUACAUUAUGACCAUAAAAACAAAAGAAAAACAGAUCCAAAUUUUAAGUCAUUUUGGUUUCAAAACUCUGUAUUUUAACAAAUGUUUCCACUGUUUGUAAAUCAGCAGAAAAAUAGAACUUUUUCCACAGAUGUUUGCUGUUUAAAAAUGUUUUUGGAUUAAAGAUUGAAAAAUGUUAGAAAUAAGUUUUUAUUUGGAUUCUACAAAUUGACUCAUUUGUUAAAUUAUAGAUGAUACAUUUUACAUAUUAACGCUAAAAAGACGACAAAUGUAAAUAAUGUGUACAAUGAUCUGUAUUUCUAUCAAAGUAACUUCUUGUUUGAAAAUAGAAUAUUUUUCACUGCACUUAACUCACCAACGUUUUCUCUCUUUUUUUAAAAUAAAUGUAAGUCAAGAUUUCACCGAAAAGGGCUGAUUAAAUAUUAAAGCAUAUCAAAUGAUUUUAACUGGUGUUCAACAGAUUUUCUGUGUUUUGUUCAUUUGUAGAUAAUAAUGAGUAAAAUUACAGAAAAGGUAUUAAUUUACAUGUUGACUGUAAAGAAAAAUAAAGACCAACCAAAGCCGUAAAUAAUAAAGUCUCUGUAUUUUCAUUGUUGAUAAUUAUUUGUUCUUUAACAAUGUCUGACUGUAAAAUUACAGCAUAUUUUUUCCUGUAGAUAAAUCAGUGUAAUAUCAGAAGUCAGAUUGUUAUUCUGCAGUUAGAGAUCAACAGGAUCAAUCAUCCAUCCAUUCAUUCAAAAAGAGAUAUGAAAUAACCACAAAGAUGCACAAAACAAGUCAUAUCAUCCAUCAACUGAUGUAAAAGAACCACAAGGAUGCAUAGAACAAGCAAAAUAAGACCAAAAUUGAUGGAAAAAACCAAAAUAAGACACAAACCAACCAAGAAGAGAAACAAAACAAAUAAUAUCAUUCAUCAACUGAUGCAAAACAAACACAAAGAGACACAAAAUAAGUAAAAUGUGACAAAAAUGGAUGGAAAACAACCAAAAUAAGAUACAAAACCAGCAUAAAUAUAGAAAAUGACCUCAGAGAUACACAAAACGAACUAAAAUAUGAUAUUAAAUGAUGCAAAACAGUGAUAAUGAGUAUUAGACAUCCACAAAGAGACCCACAACAAUUCACAUCAGUUGUUAAACAGCGCAAAAGAAGUAAAAUCAGACAAGCAACAGCACAAUAAGAAACAAAACAUCCACAAUAAGUCUUCUUGUUUUUAAUAAUGCACAUCAAAGUGGAACACUAAAGGUUGUGUUCUUCACUGCAGAGUCCCUGAACUGACAGAAACUAUUUUCCUUGACAAGUGGAGGUUAACUGUGUUUGUGGUUUUGUUGUAUCAGGCAGAAGGAAGGUCAAAGUUUUAUUCAACAAACUGGAAAAAUGGAAUAAAACUCUUCUUCUGGUCGAAGCUCCCUGAGAUACAGACGAAUUCUCCUCUGAUGUGUUAAUCUGAAAAUGAGUUAAAAAAACAUUCUAAUCUCAUGGAUGAAUGACAAACUCUGCUGUCCUACUUUUAUUCCAGACAGUGAACUAACCACAGACUGUCCUACUUUUAUUACAGACAGUGAACUUGAACAUCAGCUGACGUUUCCUGUUGAUGCAUGAUUCAGUUCUCUGAAAUGAAACACACCCCAGAGUUACAGUUGAAGCAAGAGAAGUGCUGUGGCGAAGCUCCACCCCUCAACUGGCUCAUCUCACACAAACCAGGAAACAGUUUGUGAUUCUUUCUCGGUAAAGAGAAACUCAGACGAUCAGACGGAGCUUCAGUGUCCUCAGACUGAGUCCAGCUACAACACUGCUGCUUCCAGCUGCUGACACUCCAAACACUGAAGAUUCACUCACACAAUAAAUGGCUUCCAGCUCAGAGGAGGAUCUCUGCUGUCCGGUCUGUCAGGACGUCUUCACAGAUCCUGUUCUUCUGUCAUGUAGCCACAGCUUCUGUAGAGACUGUCUGAAGACCUGGUG